ACUGAAUAGAUACCCAGGUAGUCCUGGCCGUAAACUCUGAGUACUGAAUUGAAGGAUCCUCCAUAGUCCUUCAGUUGAAAGCGAAAGUAGUUAAGUACUCCGCCUGGGGAGGUAUGGUCGCAAGGCUGAAACUCAAAGAAAUUAGACGGGGGCGUCACACAAGCGGUGGAGGAUGUGGCUUAAUUCGAGGCUACGCGAAGAACCUUAUCCCAGUCUUGACAUGUUUGGAUUAACCCUUGGAAACAGGGGCCGACGCCUCGGUGGUAACGAAGACACAGGUGCUGCAUGGCUGUCGUCAGCUCGUGUCGUGAGAUGUCGGGUUAAGGUUCCCUUAACGUACGCGAAACCCUUGUCUCUAGUUGCCAGCGGGUCGAUGCCGGGAACGUCUAGAGAGACUGCCGGUGUUAAACCGGAGGAAGGUGGGGAU
rnacentral:rRNA from 1 species